rnacentral:rRNA from 1 species
GACGAACGCUGGCGGCGUGCUUAACACAUGCAAGUCGAACGGAAAGGCCCCUUCGGGGGUACUCGAGUGGCGAACGGGUGAGUAACACGUGGGUGAUCUGCCCUGCACUUCGGGAUAAGCCUGGGAAACUGGGUCUAAUACCGGAUAUGACCUCUUGGCGCAUGCCUUGUGGUGGAAAGCUUUUGCGGUGUGGGAUGGGCCCGCGGCCUAUCAGCUUGUUGGUGGGGUCACGGCCUACCAAGGCUCCGACGGGUAGCCGGCCUGAGAGGGUGUCCGGCCACACUGGGACUGAGAUACGGCCCAGACUCCUACGGGAGGCAGCAGUGGGGAAUAUUGCACAAUGGGCGCAAGCCUGAUGCAGCGACGCCGCGUGGGGGAUGACGGCCUUCGGGUUGUAAACCUCUUUCACCAUCGACGAAGGUCCGGGUUUUCUCGGAUAGACGGUAGG